rnacentral:rRNA from 1 species
AUCAACGCUGGCGGCGUGCCUAACACAUGCGAGUCGAACGAGAAAGGGUAGCAAUACCCGAGUAAAGUGGCGCACGGGUGAGUAACACGUGACUGACCUACCUUUGAGUGGGGGAUAACCUAGGGAAACCUGGGCUAAUACCGCAUAACACCUACGGGUCAAAGUCCGCCUCGGCGGACGCUGAAAGAGGGGGUCGCGGUCGAUUAGUUAGUUGGCAGGGUAAUGGCCUACCAAGACUGUGAUCGAUAUCCGGCCUGAGAGGGCGCACGGACACACUGGAACUGAAACACGGUCCAGACUCCUACGGGAGGCAGCAGUGGGGAAUUUUGCGCAAUGGGGGAAACCCUGACGCAGCAACGCCGCGUGGAGGAUGAAGUCCCUUGGGACGUAAACUCCUUUCGAUCGGGACGAUAAUGACGGUACCGGAAGAAGAAGCCCCGGCCAACUUCGUGCCAGCAGCCGCGGUAAUACGAGGGGGGCAAGCGUUGUUCGGAAUUAUUGGGCGUAAAGGGUGCGUAGGUGGUUCGGCAAGUCUUGUGUGAAAUCUUCAGGCUCAACUUGAAGUCUGCACAAGAAACUGCCGGGCUCGAGUAUGGGAGAGGUGAGUGGAAUUUCCGGUGUAGCGGUGAAAUGCGUAGAUAUCGGAAGGAACACCUGUGGCGAAAGCGGCUCACUGGACCAUUACUGACACUGAGGCACGAAAGCUAGGGGAGCAAACAGGAUUAGAUACCCUGGUAGUCC